AGAGUUUGAUCCUGGCUCAGAGUGAACGCUGGCGGCGUGCCUAAUACAUGCAAGUCGAACGAUGAAAUUUCUAGCUUGCUAGAAAUGGAUUAGUGGCGCACGGGUGAGUAACGCAUAGGUUAUGUGCCUCUUAGUUUGGGAUAGCCAUUGGAAACGAUGAUUAAUACCAGAUACUCCCUACGGGGGAAAGAUUUGUCGCUAAGAGAUCAGCCUAUGUCCUAUCAGCUUGUUGGUAAGGUAAUGGCUUACCAAGGCUAUGACGGGUAUCCGGCCUGAGAGGGUGAACGGACACACUGGAACUGAGACACGGUCCAGACUCCUACGGGAGGCAGCAGUAGGGAAUAUUGCUCAAUGGGGGAAACCCUGAAGCAGCAACGCCGCGUGGAGGAUGAAGGUUUUAGGAUUGUAAACUCCUUUUGUUAGAGAAGAUAAUGACGGUAUCUAACGAAUAAGCACCGGCUAACUCCGUGCCAGCAGCCGCGGUAAUACGGAGGGUGCAAGCGUUACUCGGAAUCACUGGGCGUAAAGAGCGCGUAGGCGGGAUAGUCAGUCAGGUGUGAAAUCCUAUGGCUUAACCAUAGAACUGCAUUUGAAACUACUAUUCUAGAGUGUGGGAGAGGUAGGUGGAAUUCUUGGUGUAGGGGUAAAAUCCGUAGAGAUCAAGAGGAAUACUCAUUGCGAAGGCGACCUGCUGGAACAUUACUGACGCUGAUUGCGCGAAAGCGUGGGGAGCAAACAGGAUUAGAUACCCUGGUAGUCCACGCCCUAAACGAUGGAUGCUAGUUGUUGGAGGGCUUAGUCUCUCCAGUAAUGCAGCUAACGCAUUAAGCAUCCCGCCUGGGGAGUACGGUCGCAAGAUUAAAACUCAAAGGAAUAGACGGGGACCCGCACAAGCGGUGGAGCAUGUGGUUUAAUUCGAAGAUACACGAAGAACCUUACCUAGGCUUGACAUUGAGAGAAUCCGCUAGAAAUAGUGGAGUGUCUAGCUUGCUAGACCUUGAAAACAGGUGCUGCACGGCUGUCGUCAGCUCGUGUCGUGAGAUGUUGGGUUAAGUCCCGCAACGAGCGCAACCCCCUUUCUUAGUUGCUAACAGGUCAUGCUGAGAACUCUAAGGAUACUGCCUCCGUAAGGAGGAGGAAGGUGGGGACGACGUCAAGUCAUCAUGGCCCUUACGCCUAGGGCUACACACGUGCUACAAUGGGGUGCACAAAGAGAAGCAAUACUGCGAAGUGGAGCCAAUCUUCAAAACACCUCUCAGUUCGGAUUGUAGGCUGCAACUCGCCUGCAUGAAGCUGGAAUCGCUAGUAAUCGCAAAUCAGCCAUGUUGCGGUGAAUACGUUCCCGGGUCUUGUACUCACCGCCCGUCACACCAUGGGAGUUGUGUUUGCCUUAAGUCAGGAUGCUAAACCAGCUACUGCCCACGGCACACACAGCGACUGGGGUGAAGUCGUAACAAGGUAACCGUAGGUGAACCUGCGGUUG
rnacentral:rRNA from 2 species